CCGCCCCGCCCGGCGGCCCCAGCGCCCCGCACUGAGCCCGGAAGCGCUUCCCGGCCGCGCUCUGCCCCGGACCCCUGUCCCUGCUCCAGCCUCCGCUCCCCGCGCCCGCCGGGGCACGCGCCUCUCCCUCUCCCCUUCCUCAGGAGGAGCGGGGGGGCCCCCGCAGCGGGGCCUGGGGCAGAGCCGGGGGGCGGGAAUGCAGCCGCCGGAGCCGCAGCCGCAGCCGGAGCCAAGCCCCCAGCGCAGCACGAAAAUGCCAGAAGCCUCAGAAGACCACAAUCAUUGGAAGGCCUGUUGACUUCCGUUUUCUGGUAAUCUGGAACAUCAUCCAUCUGGCAUGGCGCAGGGCAGCCAACAGCUUGAUGUGCAGGUACUCCAUGAUCUCCGGCAGCGUUUCCCUGAGAUACCUGAAGGGGUGGUAUCUCAGUGCAUGCUUCAGAACAACAACAACCUCGAUGCCUGUUGUCGAGCCCUUGCGCAGGAGAGCAGCAAGUAUUUGUAUAUGGAGUACCACAGCCCUGAUGACACCAGAAUGAAUAGAAAUAGCCUUUUGCACAUUAAUCUGGGUAUUCAUCCUCAUACCAGCUAUCACGCGGGGGAUGGAGCUCAACUUAAUGGUGGUCGUACACUGGUACACAGCUCAAGCGAUGGACACAUUGACCCGCAGCGCACGGCAGGUAAACAGCUGAUUUGCUUAGUUCAAGAACCACACUCUGCUCCUGCCGUUGUGGCAGCUUCUCCUAGUUACAAUCCAUUUUUCAUGAAUGACCAGAAUAGAAAUGCAGCUACUCCUCCUCCACAGCCACCUCCACAGCCAUCUUCCAUACAACCAGGAAUGAACACGUCUGCUAUGCAAGGCCCUCCCACGUAUAUGCACAUACCUCGGUACAGUACAAAUCCCAUUACUGUUACAGUAUCACAAAACCUCCCCUCUGGACAGAGUGUACCCAGAGCUCUACAAAUUCUUCCACAGAUUCCAAGCAAUCUUUAUGGGACUCCUGGCUCUAUUUAUAUUAGACAAACAUCUCAAAGUUCUUCAGGACGACAGACUCCUCAGAAUACACAGUGGCAUUCAUCGCCACAGGGCCCAGUUCCACAUUAUACUCCUCGUCCUCUACCUGUAUAUCCACAUCAACAGAACUACCAACCUUCUCAGUAUUCUCCGAAACAACCCCAGAUCCCUCAGUCGGCUUUUCGAUCACCGCCGGCAUCCCAGUGUCCCUCUCCCUUUGGCUCUCCUCAACACCAAGUUCAGCCUCCUCAGCUGAGUCACCAGAGUUCACAUGUUUUCAUGCCUCCUAGUCCUUCCACUGUCCCACCCCAUCCGUAUCAGCAAGCAUCCCAGACUUUUCAAAAGCAAGGUGGUCACUCUGUAUCGUACCUUCCUCCUUUUGCUGGACCUAGUUUAUCCAAAGGUUCCAUGAAUAAAAUAGAAAUUACAGUUGAGCCACCACAAAGACCUGGGACUGCAAUGAACAGAAGCCCUUCACCAAUAAGUAAUCAACCAUCUCAACGAAACCAGCACCCGCUGUAUGCAGCCACUACUCCUCCUUCAGGCUCUCCAUCCAGAGGUAUGUCGGGACAACCCAAACCUCCGUUUAGUGUUAAUCCAGUGUUUAUUACCUACACUCAACCAACUGGACCUGCAGGUGCACCAACACAAUCUCCUCGGGUAAUGGUAUCUCAGCCAAACCCAACCAUUUUUAAAAUCACAGUAGGUCGAGCACCGACUGAGAAUCUUUUAAAUUUAGUGGACCAAGAAGAGCGUUCUGCAGCACCAGAACCUAUUCAGCCUAUUUCUGUAAUCCCAGGAUCUGGAGGAGAAAAAGGAAGCCAUAAGUAUCAGAGGAGUUCUAGUUCUGGAUCAGACGACUAUGCUUACACUCAAGCCUUGCUGUUACAUCAACGAGCAAGGAUGGAGAGAUUAGCAAAGGAACUGAAGCUUGAGAAAGAAGAGCUUGAACGCUUGAAGACUGAAGUCAAUGGUAUGGAGCAUGAUCUGAUGCAGAGGCGGCUUCGAAGAGUCAGCUGUACAACUGCAAUUCCAACAGUAAGCAAUUUCCUGAGGAAAUGACCAGAUUGAGAAGCCUCAACAGACAACUCCAGAUAAAUGUUGACUGUACACUGAAAGAAGUUGAUCUCCUUCAAUCUAGAGGAAACUUUGAUCCGAAAGCCACAUGUAACUUCUAUGAUAACAUAGAGCCUGGUCCUGUUGUGCCACCAAAGCCAUAUAAAAAAGAGCAUCAAAACAGCUCCAAACAGACUCCACGAACUCAGCCAAGAGAUGAAGACUUUGAAGGGGCCCCAUGGAAUUGUGGUAGCUGCACCUUUCUAAAUCACCCAGCACUAAAUCGCUGUGAACAAUGUGAAAUGCCACGAUACACCUGAAAUUCAGGAAGGGGCUGCAUUGGGUUGAACACAGGCUCUCAAGCCAACACCUGUAAGAGAAGGAAACAUGGGGAACCUUUCAGUCCAUCUGCCCGGCCUUUGCCAGUCAACAAUCUUCAUAUUGCAAGGGGUGGGAGUAAUGUGUUAGGAUGUUUCUGCUUCUGCUGCACUAGAAAAUAAAUAAAUUAAGGGUUAAAUUCCUUCCCAUUGCAGUGAGCGAAGCAGAAAAUGAAACCUGAAAAUGUAAAAGGAUUAAUUUUGAGAAGAAUGUAUGCAGGAAAGCAAGUAACUACUGGUGUUUAUUCCUGUGGUUAUAGUUACUGCUUAGUGGCUCUAAAAACAAACAACCCGAAACUACUGUUUUUUAAAAGAAAAUUAUAGGACUCUUAGUAAUGGUGUGAAGUGUUACACUUAACCAGAAAAACUGAAGAGCCAGAGCUGACUUAACCUGGCCACAGCUAGCUGGAAAACAAAGGCUCCCUGUGCUUCUAGAUUGUAAGCUACUGAAAAAGAAGACAGGUAAAUGCAAUGAUAAAUUUUGCAAUGUAUAAAAAAAAAGGAGAAGGGUAUUUGUAAUUGCUGCUUUUUUUCAGGGUAACUUAUGUCUACAAAAAAUUGCUGUUUGAAAUAGUGACCUGAGGUGACUAAAUGAGGAACCGUGUGAGUGUAAUAGAGAGUGUAAUCAGAGGUAAUUUUUUACAAUCCCGUUUGCUUGUACAGUGCUCACCUGGCUGUGUCAACACUGGUAAUAAACCAAGAAUGAAUUCUACCACGUUGCGGAUGAAAAUCCUGCUGCAUGCUUUCAUUGGGCCGUCGUGUUUCCAAGCUCAAAGGAUGCUUUUCUAUACAACCAUCUGAGCCUGUGCUCUGCAGCAGCACAGUGACAUAUGCCAAACACAGGCUACUCCAAAUUCCAUUUGGAAGACUUGGGCUCAGCCAUGGUUGUGUUUGAGAAGAGUUUGUACCCAGUUCCUUAGGCCUUCUCAGCUUCCAAUUUGUGAAGAAUUCAUGGUGUUUACAGCACAGAAGGUACUUUGUGCCCCAGAUCAAAGUUAGCUGAAAGAUAAUUAAUCAGCUCUUCAGUAAAGGUUUAUUUGCACAUUAUAAAUAAACCAGCCUGUACAAAAUAGCAGAUGCCAGAUCCUGAAGAAUUACACACAGCAUUCUUUCUAUUUUGAUCAGGAAAUAUUUGUCAUAGGUUAAAGAAUACAAGACUUGCAAUUGAAAAUCCUGCUGGUACUUAUCUGUCUAUGAUACACUGUAUUCUAAGGGUGAUGUUCAAUCUGUCUGAAUGCUUCAGGCUGCUGGAAUAAAGCACUCGAUACUUUGUGAUCGAACUUGGGUUUGGGCAGCUGAAUGAUUCUGUGACACAACUGUGUGACUGAGUAUGGUGUUCUGUGUCCUGGUCAGAGGCUGGUACAGUGCAUUUGAGUUUUAUGGUAUAACUUCAUCACAAUUCAGAGAUGCAGCCAAGCACUUCAGCUGAAUUAUGGUAAUUGACUUGGUAAAGCAAAAUUUGCUAUUAACUUUACCAUGAGAGUUUUAAACUACUUCAUUUUAAGCUCUUCUUAGCUAAUGGCAGCCACAUCCAUAUUGUCAAUUACCACAGUUCUCUUGAUGUGUGAUAACAUGCUAAGCUGUGGUAGAACAAUCAUGUGUCUGAAUCCUUAUUUAAAAUAAAGCAGCAUUUGCAAGGGGUGGGUGGAUGUAAACUCAUCUUGAAUGCGUUGCUCAAUCUGGUGUCUUCUGUCCUCACAAUUUUAUAAAGACAACAGUAAGAACUGAACUGUUGAUCUUAGAUGAGGAACCAAUAUUUUAUCUGGCAUUUUUCAAUAUGUUCUUGCACUAACUAAAUCUUCAGGAUAAUUUUUAAAUAAGCUAGAUCUCCAGCAAUCAGUGUGUACCACUGAUGUGCAAAACAAAGUCAAAGGCAUCAGAGAUAGUUUUCCACCCUUCCUAGUGAUUUACAUUUCUGUGGGGGGAGCUCAUCACAUUUGGAAGGGGGUAAGCAAGUUACUGUCAACUACUGUCAGCUGUAAUUGAAAGGCAGAUAUUAAUUUUGUGCAUAUCAGUGGACAGUUUGACAAAACUGAGGACUAGAAAGCAGAUGAGCAGAAGCAUUCCUCUUAUCAGCUAUAUAAUGAAUGACUCCAAAUAAUACCAGUAACUUCAUGGCUUUUCUAUCCUGAUGCCUUUGUCAUUGUAUUAUUUCAAUUUUCUGUUCCUUUAUACUUCUGGUGAAGUUCUAGAAGCAUUUGUUUUUGCUGGAAUUACAGAAAGAUAGCAACUGAAGUGACAGCAAAUGAGAGUAGGGCUGUCAUGCAAAAAUACAUUGUGCCAUUUUCAGAAAGAAUAGAUGCUACUAUAUUUUGAAGUUAUGUUUUGAAGUUUUGAAGAUGUGACUAUUUGAAGGAGGAGGUGCAAAUAUGCAUUCAGUCCAAAAAUGCCCUGAACUGCAAUAACCAUACACGGAGACUUGCAAAUCUUAGUCCCAGCUUCACCAGGGGAAGAGAAAGAAGGCUGCCACCACAGCAAGGUACUUAUUGGAAGAGUGAGUUAGCGCCAUUAAAUUGAAAAGUAAGUCCUUUGUACCAAUGAUUUUACUUGGUUUUUUUCAAUUACUCUCAUUUGUUGCUUGUACAAACAAACAAAGAAAACCACCACACCUUCUGUUGUAUUCUUUUAUUUGUAAAUGCCCAUACUCAAAUGUUAAUAGUGAAGACUUGACAUGGUGCUUGAAUAUUUCUAGUUUGUUAGAAUGUAAUUGUAUUUUGAAUAUUGGAAGAUCCAUUUUCCUUCUGAAAGCAGGUGAUGCCAUUCAAACCCCAACUGAAUUGUAGAUUAUACCAAAAAGAUUGGUUUAUGGAAUAUUUAUUGAAUGCACAUAAAACCCUAAUGUCAGCUGGCAUACAAAAUGCACUGUAUUGUAUAAAACGUGUGUGUGUGUGUGUGUGUGUGUGAGAAUGUUGGGAUGCUGAUGCUGUUGUGUUGAGUUAAUGCACUACUUGUGUUUUCUUUUUUCCUUAUUGACUGAGCUUUCCCUCAAUCAUGCUACUAGAUUGGUAGAGUUUGUAACUGACUCGGACAUUCAGUUAUUGAAAAUGAUCUCACUGUUCAUUGAAAUUUUAUAAAGCUUAUUUUAUAUUUCCUGUGCUAUUAAGAUGAAUUCCCUUAUAAUUAUAGGAUACUACUGUAGUUCUUUAAAAGUUUAUUUAGAGUGGGGCUUGUGGAAAAAUUAUUCAGAACAUAGUAAACCAAAAGAAAUCCUAAACUUUGGAUCUACUUUUAAUUUGAUGUAAUUAUUAGUCUUGCGUGGGUGAAGAGGAAAGGGGUGGGAAGUCAAGCAAAAGGAAGUACUUUGUAAAAUGUAGUCUUAGAUCAGAUUGAAUUGUGUAUCUGUGUGUCUGUGGUAUGUGUGUGUUUCCCUUGAAAAAUGGGAGGUGUGGUGAAAAGGUGUAAUAAUUCUUAAAAGAGCUGGUCUCAGUACUUUCUGAUUAUGAUAUGCUACUGAAUCACGUUUGUUUUUUUUUUAAAAGAAAAACAACUUUUGCUCAGUAACUUUAUCUCUCCCAGCUAUACAUUUCUCACUUCAGUUUCUAAAUACUUUAAUACUUUUUCAGUUUCUAAAUACUUUUACAUUUAAUAUUGAUUGUAAAAUCCCUUGAAACGGAAAUAGAAAUACUUGAGUUGAAAUGGGGACAAAAUAAAACCAAUAAAGAAUGUUUUAAAAAAGAAUGUGAGAAUAUUAAAUAUGUUAAAAACAAGCUUGUCAUCAGGAUGAUGGUUCUUCUUUUAAAAUCCAGUGAUGUACCCUAGAAUGUGAACAUGACUAUCCUGAUGAGAAGUGAAUGGUUGGACAUAAACAAUUCAACAGCCAAUUUGGUACCACAGAAUUGAUGUGCUCUGUACUGCAGUGACUCCAAAUCCCACAAGGAAGGAAGACACGCACAGAUAUCACAUCUCACAGUCAGUACUGUCUCUGUGUGCAGCUGCAUUUGUUUUCGUUUCAAAAUGUCAAUCUUACAUAAACCCAGACAUGACUGAGUUUUGCCACAUUUUUUCAGUUGGGGCUUUCAUUGCUGUUUAUGUCCAUAAAUUCAAAUAUUUUUCUUGGAAUAAUCAGAAAUCAGUGGAGUUCAUGCAAUAUUAUAAUCCUGGAUUUCCAGUAUCUUUGAAACCAAUUUUAAAAAACUGUGUUCUUGAAACUUAUUUAUUUAUGGUGGCACCAGUGUAUCUAAUCCAUACUUCCUGCUGUGUGAAACCCUGUUAAAUUUUUUCAUUAAAAAAAGAAGACACGAUCUUGUUUAAUCCUGUAUAUAUGGUGUCUACAUUCUAGAUUUGUGUAUGCUGUGAAUGAACUUAUUACUAAGAGAUGAAAUUGUAUAAAAGCAUUCAGAGGCUAUGCAUGCAUGGUACCUCCAGAAAGUGCAUACUCCAAGUUGCAGAUUCCUGCAAAAAUAAAUUAAUAAAACUAAGCAAACAUCA